rnacentral:sRNA from 1 species
GAACUACUUUAUAAAUUGCAGUUUGUGUAUACCUAUAUUGCCCCGUGGCAGAUCACAUGGGGUUCUGCUUUCCAUGCUUUUGCUCAGCCUUUUGCAGUGCCUCAUUCAGCCAUGCUGUUUAUUCAGGCUGCUGUCUCGGCCUUCUUCUCUACUCCACUGAACCCCUUUCUGGGAAGUGCAAUAUUCAUCACUUCAUAUGUCCGACCUGUGAAAUUCUGGGAGAGAGACUAUAACACAAAACGAGUGGAUCAUUCAAAUACCAGAUUGGCUUCCCAGCUUGAUAGAAAUCCAGGAUCAGAUGACAACAAUCUGAAUUCCAUCUUUUAUGAGCAUUUAACUAGAUCCCUACAACACAGCCUCUGUGGUGAUUUGCUACUAGGACGGUGGGGAAACUACAGUACAGGGGACUGUUUCAUCCUUGCCUCUGACUAUCUCAAUGCAUUAGUACACCUUAUAGAGAUAGGCAAUGGUCUGGUCACUUUUCAGCUGCGGGGACUUGAAUUCAGAGCUGUGAUCUUGAAGAAUAAGAACAAAGUGACAGAAGCCAUUAAAGGAUCUGCUUCAUUGAAGACAAAAAGAUGAA